GAAUUGCCAACAAUAGAAAAACUCACUAGUGAAAUUAUAUAGCUAUCUCCAGAUUAUUCAGAGAAUCAACAACACUUUUCUCCAUUAGAAAUCUAAGUCAAAUCUUCUAAUAAUUCUCCUUAUCAAUACAACUUUAUCAGUAGAUCUUAUCAAAAGAGUAAGGUCCAUUACUUCGACAUUUAGUUCUUUUAAUAGGUGAUCUAAUUCAAACUUCUUUUUUAUUUAUUUAUUUUGGUGCCAGAACAUCAUUAAUAUUCAUUUAAUUGAUUAUCACAAGAUCAUAAACUACUGCACUUUAUCCAUUGUAGAACAUUUGAGCCUAAAAUAUUAUUCAACAUUGAAAAUUAUUCUCAGAAUUUACUAAAUGACUUCCAAUCAAAAUAUUAAUCUUGCAUUAUAAUUUGCAAAGAUCUAAUAUUUCACUUUCCAAGUAAACAAAGGGGAAACUCUUAAUUCUCAUUCUCAGAUAUAUUUUCUUUUUAUAUAAUAGUUUCAUGCAUAAUUGUCAUACAAAUUUCAUCCUCGAAGAAUAUAAAAUCUUUCCUUGUCCAAGCCUUAAACAACUUAUGAAUGAACCCUAUCUUGCCAUCAAAAUAAUUAACUUCAAACUAGAAGUAUUAUCCACAGAACUCAGUAUCAAGUUAAACUUCCAAAAUUACCUAUAUAUUGAUACACAAGUAAUCACAAUGUACUUUAACAUUCCAUGGCUAGUACUCCACUUAAUAUCAGUCAAAAUCUAAUUUAAUCAUAAUCCAAAAAAUACAAAUUACUCCAUCGAGAAAUCUCCAAAAUAAUUUAUUCUUAUUUUGGCAUGGCUUGCUAGCAUGCUGAUUCAAAAUACCAAAAUCCUUAGUAGUCUUAAAUCUUGGAUUCUAAUACCAUACCUGUCAUAAUCAUGCUCCUAGAAUAAUUUUAUAUUAGCCUUAACUUCUUUCUUUUUGUUGCUCAUUGUCACCUAUCAAAAUAUUUGUGCCAAGCAGUUUUCGUGACUGACCGAUGAUGCGACCAAUAAAAUCUUUUCUUUCCUUUCAGUUAUGCGGAAUCUCACUAAAUGAGACUUAACUACCCAUUCCCUUAUUAAAACUUGAAAUUUUUACUCAUGGUUAACCUAUUGCUCUGAUACCA
rnacentral:lncRNA from 1 species